UAUUACAAUGAAGAGUUUGAUCCUGGCUCAGGAUGAACGCUAGCUACAGGCUUAACACAUGCAAGUCGAGGGGCAGCAUGGUCUUAGCUUGCUAAGGCCGAUGGCGACCGGCGCACGGGUGAGUAACACGUAUCCAACCUGCCGUCUACUCUUGGACAGCCUUCUGAAAGGAAGAUUAAUACAAGAUGGCAUCAUGAGUCCGCAUGUUCACAUGAUUAAAGGUAUUCCGGUAGACGAUGGGGAUG
rnacentral:rRNA from 1 species